AGCAGUAGCCACGGGAAUACGUAGGGGGCGAGCGUUGUCCGAAGUUACUGGGCGUAAAGAGCGCGUAGGCUGGUCUUUAAGUGAGUGGUGAAAGGUUCGGGCUCAACCCGGACACUGCCUUUCAUACUGGGGACCUUGAGUGUGGGAGAGGCGAGUGGAAUGGUCGGUGUAGCGGUGAAAUGCGUAGAUAUCGAUCGGAACACCCAUGGCGAAGGCAGCUCGCUGGCCUAACACUGACGCUGAGGCGCGAAAGCGUGGGGAGCAAACAGGAUUAGAUACCCGCGUAGUCCCUGUCUCUUAUAC
rnacentral:rRNA from 1 species